rnacentral:rRNA from 1 species
GACGAACGCUGGCGGCGUGCCUAACACAUGCAAGUCGAACGGGUCCAGGGGCAACUCUGGUUCAGUGGCGGACGGGUGCGUAGCACGUGAGGAACAUGACCUUCGGCGGGGGAUAGCCGGCCCAACGGCCGGGUAAGUACCGCGUACGACCUUUCGGGGACAUCCCUGGAUGGUGAAAGCAGCAAUGCGCCGAUGGAGUGCCUCGCGGCCUAUCAGCUAGUUGGUGAGGUAACGGCNCACCAAGGCGACGACGGGUAGCUGGUCUGAGAGGAUGGCCAGCCACAUUGGGACUGAGACACGGCCCAGACUCCUACGGGAGGCAGCAGUGGGAAUAUGCGCAAUGGACGAAAGUCUGACGCAGCGACGCCGCGUGU